GAUGAACGCUGGCGGCGUGCCUAAUACAUGCAAGUCGAGCGAACAGACGAGGAGCUUGCUCCUCUGACGUUAGCGGCGGACGGGUGAGUAACACGUGGAUAACCUACCUAUAAGACUGGGAUAACUUCGGGAAACCGGAGCUAAUACCGGAUAAUAUAUUGAACCGCAUGGUUCAAUAGUGAAAGACGGUUUUGCUGUCACUUAUAGAUGGUUCCGCGCCGCAUUAGCUAGUUGGUAAGGUAACGGCUUACCAAGGCAACGAUGCGUAGCCGACCUGAGAGGGUGAUCGGCCACACUGGAACUGAGACACGGUCCAGACUCCUACGGGAGGCAGCAGUAGGGAAUCUUCCGCAAUGGGCGAAAGCCUGACGGAGCAACGCCGCGUGAGUGAUGAAGGUCUUCGGAUCGUAAAACUCUGUUAGUAGGGAAGAACAAAUGUGUAAGUAACUAUGCACGUCUUGACGGUACCUAAUCAGAAAGCCACGGCUAACUACGUG
rnacentral:rRNA from 1 species